rnacentral:tRNA from 1 species
GGGGCCUAUAGCUCAGUCGGUUAGAGCGCAUCGCUGAUAACGAUGAGGUCGCAAGUUCGAUUCUUGCUAGGCCCACCAG